rnacentral:rRNA from 1 species
GAUGAACGCUGGCGGCGUGCCUAAUACAUGCAAGUCGAGCGAACAGACGAGGAGCUUGCUCCUCUGACGUUAGCGGCGGACGGGUGAGUAACACGUGGAUAACCUACCUAUAAGACUGGGAUAACUUCGGGAAACCGGAGCUAAUACCGGAUAACAUGUUGAACCGCAUGGUUCAACAGUGAAAGACGGUCUUGCUGUCACUUAUAGAUGGAUCCGCGCCGCAUUAGCUAGUUGGUAAGGUAACGGCUUACCAAGGCAACGAUGCGUAGCCGACCUGAGAGGGUGAUCGGCCAAAGUGGAACAGAGACACGGUCCAGACGACUAAGGGAGGCAGCAGUAGGGAAUAGGCCGCAAUGGGCGAAAGCCUGACGGAGCAACGCCGCGUGAGUGAAGAAGGUCUUGGGAUCGUAAAACUCUGUUAUUAGGGAAGAACAAAUGUGUAAGUAAAUAUGCACGUAUUGACGGUACCUAAUCAGAAAGCAACGGCUAACUACGUG